rnacentral:rRNA from 1 species
CAUGCAAGUCGAACGAGAAUCUACUGAAGGAGGAUUCGUCCAACGGAUGUAGAGGAAAGUGGCGGACGGGUGAGUAACGCGUGAGGAACCUGCCUUGAAGAGGGGGACAACAGUUGGAAACGACUGCUAAUACCGCAUGAAGCAUAGGGGUCGCAUGAUCUUUAUGCCAAAGAUUUAUCGCUUCAAGAUGGCCUCGCGUCUGAUUAGCUAGUUGGCGGGGUAACGGCCCACCAAGGCGACGAUCAGUAGCCGGACUGAGAGGUUGAACGGCCACAUUGGGACUGAGAUACGGCCCAGACUCCUACGGGAGGCAGCAGUGGGGAAUAUUGGGCAAUGGGCGCAAGCCUGACCCAGCAACGCCGCGUGAAGGAAGAAGGCUUUCGGGUUGUAAACUUCUUUUAAGAGGGAAGAGCAGAAGACGGUACCUCUAGAAUAAGCCACGGCUAACUACGUGCCAGCAGCCGCGGUAAUACGUAGGUGGCAAGCGUUGUCCGGAUUUACUGGGUGUAAAGGGCGUGCAGCCGGGUCUGCAAGUCAGAUGUGAAAUCCAUGGGCUCAACCCAUGAACUGCAUUUGAAACUGUAGAUCUUGAGUGUCGGAGGGGCAAUCGGAAUUCCUAGUGUAGCGGUGAAAUGCGUAGAUAUUAGGAGGAACACCAGUGGCG